rnacentral:rRNA from 1 species
GACGUAGGGGACGAGCGUUGUCCGGAUUCAUUGGGCGUAAAGAGCACGCAGGCGGUUUGGCAAGUCGGAUGUGAAAACCCGAAGCUCAACUUCGGGCCUGCAUCCGAAACUGCCCGACUAGAGGUAGGUAGGGGAGAUCGGAAUUCCUGGUGUAGCGGUGAAAUGCGCAGAUAUCAGGAGGAGCACCGGUGGCGAAGGCGGGUCUCUGGG